rnacentral:rRNA from 1 species
UGGGGAAUUUUGGACAAUGGGCGCAAGCCUGAUCCAGCCAUGCCGCGUGCGGGAAGAAGGCCUUCGGGUUGUAAACCGCUUUUGUCAGGGAAGAAAUCUUCUGAGUUAAUACCUCGGGAGGAUGACGGUACCUGAAGAAUAAGCACCGGCUAACUACGUGCCAGCAGCCGCGGUAAUACGUAGGGUGCAAGCGUUAAUCGGAAUUACUGGGCGUAAAGCGUGCGCAGGCGGUUUUGUAAGACAGAGGUGAAAUCCCCGGGCUCAACCUGGGAACUGCCUUUGUGACUGCAAGGCUUGAGUGCGGCAGAGGGGGAUGGAAUUCCGCGUGUAGCAGUGAAAUGCGUAGAUAUGCGGAGGAACACCGAUGGCGAAGGCAAUCCCCUGGGCCUGCACUGACGCUCAUGCACGAAAGCGUGGGGAGCAAACAGGAUUAGAUCCCUGGUAGUCCACGCCCUAAACGAUGUCAACUGGUUGUUGGGAAGGUUCCUUCUCAGUAACGUAGCUAACGC